rnacentral:rRNA from 1 species
GCAACUCGCCUACAUGAAGUCGGAAUUGCUAGUAAUCGCGGAUCAGCAUGCCGCGGUGAAUACGUUCCCGGGCCUUGUACACACCGCCCGUCACACCAUGGGAGUCGGUAACACCCGAAGCCUGUAGUCUAACCGCAAGGAGGACGCAGUCGAAGGUGGGAUUGAUGACUGGGGUNAAGUCGUAACAAGGUAGC